CGACUGCACUCGCCUUUUACUGUCUGAUAAUCCCGGGCCUGAUGUCUUUCAGUCAUCAAUAAACAGACUUCAAACCAUGCUGAGGAGCCUGGAAUGGGCAAAGGGGAGGCUUCUACAUACUCAGGCAGCAGAUGAGAUAAUCCAUGAAGUGACAGAUUUUAUUCAGGAGAUUCAAACUUCUGAACCGAGAGCACAGGAAGACAGCACUGGAUAUCGACCUCCACUGAUUCGUAGUGGAUCCAGAGGCGCACCGUCUUAUGUCAUUACUCAUGAUCAACUGUCAUUUCUGUUGUCUUGCGGCUUCACUGUAACACAGAUUGCACAUAUUCUACACACCUCCAUAUCUACAGUCAAGCGACG